rnacentral:rRNA from 1 species
GACGUAGGAUGCAAGCGUUGUCCGGAUUUAUUGGGCGUAAAGAGUUCGUAGGUGGUUUGUUAAGUCUGAUGUUAAAGAUCGGGGCUCAACCUCGGGAGUGCAUUGGAUACUGGCAGACUUGAGUAUGGUAGAGGCAAGUGGAAUUCCCAGUGUAGCGGUGAAAUGCGUAGAUAUUGGGAAGAACACCGGUGGCGCAAGCGACUUGCUGGGCCAUUACUGACACUGAGGAACGAAAGCUAGGGUAGCGAAUGGG